rnacentral:rRNA from 1 species
UGGGGAAUAUUGCACAAUGGGCGCAAGCCUGAUGCAGCCAUGCCGCGUGUAUGAAGAAGGCCUUCGGGUUGUAAAGUACUUUCAGCGGGGAGGAAGGCGAUAAGGUUAAUAACCUUGUCGAUUGACGUUACCCGCAGAAGAAGCACCGGCUAACUCCGUGCCAGCAGCCGCGGUAAUACGGAGGGUGCAAGCGUUAAUCGGAAUUACUGGGCGUAAAGCGCACGCAGGCGGUCUGUCAAGUCGGAUGUGAAAUCCCGGGCUCAACCUGGGAACUGCAUUCGAAACUGGCAGGCUAGAGUCUUGUAGAGGGGGGUAGAAUUCCAGGUGUAGCGGUGAAAUGCGUAGAGAUCUGGAGGAAUACCGGUGGCGAAGGCGGCCCCCUGGACAAAGACUGACGCUCAGGUGCGAAAGCGUGGGGAGCAAACA